UCUCUCUCUCUCUCCAUCCUCUAUUAACGAACGACCCAUUUCGCUUUCUGUCCUGCCCUCUUCUUCUUUUUUUCUCUCCUCCGCUCUGUGAUCUGCUUGCUUGCUUUCUUUCUUUCUUUCAGAGAUGGAAGCGGUGAAGACGGUGAUAUGCUCUUGAAUCUCUCUGGUAAGGAUUGAAUAUAUCACUAUUGAUUUGGGUUUUUCAUAGCAAGUAAAUGUUUGACCCUUUUAUGGUGAUCCACGUGCGUUCUCUAUUCUGGCUGAGCAGAAGGAAAAAGGCAAAAUACCCAACAAAAUCACUUACCCAACCUAUCUCUGAGUGAUUCAAGUUGGCUACCAAUUUCUUCCAUACUUUUCAUUCCCUCAAGACUCUGAAUUUCUCUUUGUCCUUUUUCAUAUUUAGCUUCGUAGGGAACUAAUAAUAGAAUAGUAGUUGAUACUCGGAUUUUCUUGAAUUAAGCUUAGCUAAGUGAGAUUUUGCAAGAUUAACAGUAUUCAUUACUAUUAGAGCUAAGCGAAUAGGAGUAGUUUUGCUUUGUGAUUGAUUCCAAAACAGCAAUAGUUAGAAUCUAGAGGAGGAAAGAGGACUCUUUCUGUAGAUUGAUUUGUGGUAUAGAAGUGGCUAAAAUGAGUCUGGGUGCGGCCGAGAAUGAUUCGGCAUCGGAGAUUCAUAUACCAGCAGAGAUUGAUUGGCAUAUGCUUGAUAAAUCCAGGUUUUUCUUUCUUGGAGCUGCUUUAUUUUCUGGUGUAUCAGCUGCACUUUACCCUGUUGUUGUUUUAAAGACUCGGCAACAGGUUUCUCCAACUCAAAUUUCGUCCGUCAAAUUGUCCUUUUCCAUUAUGCGUCAUGAAGGGGUGAGAGGUUUCUAUAGGGGUUUUGGUACCUCUUUGAUGGGAACUAUCCCAGCAAGAGCCCUUUACAUGGCAGCACUCGAGGUGACCAAGAGCAGUGUUGGGACUGCAACUGUUAGAUUAGGUUUCUCUGAUACUCAAGCAACAGCUAUAGCCAAUGCUGCUGCUGGGUUGAGUUCAGCUAUGGCUGCACAGGUGGUUUGGACUCCAAUUGAUGUUGUGAGCCAAAGGCUCAUGGUUCAAGGUUGCAACAGUAGCAAUAGCAAGAUUAGCAAGAACAUGAUCCCCAGUUGGGAUUCGUGUGGAUAUAGGAAUGGCAUCGAUGCAUUUCGAAAGAUUUUGCGUGCAGAUGGUCCAAGUGGGUUGUAUAGAGGGUUUGGGAUAUCAAUAUUGACUUAUGCACCAUCCAAUGCAGUUUGGUGGGCAUCUUACUCUGUGGCACAUAGGCUUAUUUGGGGUGGAAUCGCUUGCUCCACAAAUAAAAAGGACGAGAGUUCUGUAAAUGGUAGAGCCUUUGGUUAUAGGCCUGAUUCAAAGGCAAUGGUGGCAGUGCAGGGGUUAUGUGCAGUCAUGGCUAGUGGGGUUUCAGCUAUGAUUACCAUGCCACUUGACACUAUUAAGACACGCAUGCAGGUUUUGGAUGGAGAGCAAAAUGGAAUAAGACAGCCAUUGACUGUUAUACAAACAGUUAAAAAUCUGGUCAAGGAAGGUGGAUUUGUGGCUUGUUAUAGAGGAUUGGGGCCAAGAUGGGUUUCAAUGUCUAUGUCUGCAACAACAAUGAUCACUACGUAUGAAUUCUUGAAACGGUUAUCUACUAAGAGAAGAGAGGGCUUCAGCUCAUGACUCCGGAGAGCAGCAAAAGACAACAGAGAAACUUUUUCCCACUGGAAGUCCGUCCCAUUUUUGUUGCUCCAUUCCUCAUUUGUCUCAAAUGGCCUGCUUGCCAAACGGGCUUAUCGAUGUCAAUUCUGUUUCUUUCUCUCUUUCUUGUCAAUUGUGGGGGAGAUCAUUGCAAAUCAAUGUACACUAUUAUAGUAAUAGCAAGGCAUUUUCUUCUUGUCCUCUUUCAUUUGACAUUCUAAAAGAAUUAUGCUUAUCCUGUGCAAGGAGAAUACUUUGCAUGGGUAGCAGGCUUAAAGAUACUAUGUUUGUUGAGAAUUAAGAUGAAGAAUUCACCAGAUUGAGAU
rnacentral:misc_RNA from 1 species